CCUACGGGUGGCUGCAGUGGGGAAUAUUGGACAAUGGGCGAAAGCCUGAUCCAGCCAUGCCGCGUGUGUGAAGAAGGCCUUCGGGUUGUAAAGCACUUUCAGUGGGGAAGAAAGCCUUGGGGCUAAUACCCUCGAGGAAGGACAUCACCCACAGAAGAAGCACCGGCUAACUCCGUGCCAGCAGCCGCGGUAAUACGGAGGGUGCGAGCGUUAAUCGGAAUUACUGGGCGUAAAGCGCGCGUAGGCGGUCUGAUAAGCCGGUUGUGAAAGCCCGGGGCUCAACCUGGGAACGGCAUCCGGAACUGUCAGGCUAGAGUGCAGGAGAGGAAGGUAGAAUUCCCGGUGUAGCGGUGAAAUGCGUAGAGAUCGGGAGGAAUACCAGUGGCGAAGGCGGCCUUCUGGACUGACACUGACGCUGAGGUGCGAAAGCGUGGGUAGCAAACAGGAUUAGAUACCCGAGUAGUC
rnacentral:rRNA from 1 species